AUCGAUGUCGACAGAGUUUGAUCCUGGCUCAAGAAUAAACGCUGNCGNCGUGCCUAACACAUGCAAGUCGAGCGAGAAAAGCCUUCGGNCUGAGUAAAGCGGCAGACGGGUGAGUAAUGCGUAGGAAUCUGCCCUUCAGUGAGGAAUACCCUCGAGAAAUCGAGGUUAAUACUGCAUACGUCCCUUCGGGGAGAAAGAUGGCCUCUUGCUGUCGCUGAAGGAUGAGCCUGCGUGCUAUCAGCUAGUUGGUAGGGUAAAAGCCUACCAAGGCUAUGACGGCUAGCCGGCCUGAGAGGGUGUACGGCCACACUGGAACUGAGACACGGUCCAGACUCCUACGGGAGGCAGCAGUGGGGAAUAUUGCACAAUGGGCGAAAGCCUGAUGCANCAACGCCGCGUGAGUGAUGAAGNCCUUCGGGUUGUAAAGCUCUGUCUUUGGGGACGAUAUUGACG
rnacentral:rRNA from 1 species